UCAGAGUGCUAGCAGCAGUGGUAACAGCUAUGAGAGAGGAGGGAGCCCAAACAUGGAGUCUGCACAUGGGUCCCUUCCUCUCUACAGAUGCCCAUGGUACUACUGUGUAGCAUAACGUGAAUAAUGCCCUGCCUGACAGUACUCAAUUCCAGACAUCUACAGUAUACUGUACUGUACUGUAGGCUGUAUCUGAAACGUCAGAUUUAGAGAAACACUUUGUUAGGUUUGUUAGGCAUUGCUGUGACAUGUUGCGAACAUACCAAUCCUACUACUGUACUAACGAUAUUUCUAUUAUCUUCUUCCCACAAUGCACUGAACUACUGAGAAAAAGGAGGAAGAACUGCGUCGAAGAAGGGCUACGAUCUGGCCGGAAUUAGCCCCUUAGUCAUGAAGUAGUGACAAACAUGAAGAAGUGGAGAAGUUACCCAUGGCAACCAAUCAGAUUCCCGAGUGCACUGCAUAGUGUGAAGAUAGUGAAAACCAAAGCAUUCUAUUCUGGAGCACAACCCCAGGGCUGAUGAGAGACCUUCUGGGCAAGGUGACUCACCUUCAAGCGCAAAUUGAUGGACUGACAGGAAAACUGGAUGGACUUUGUAGUGAUAACAGCAAGGGGGUGGGGGGAGUUUCAAGGCUUGAUACUGAUACAUUAUUUAGUGCACUGUAGACUCUCUCUAUUAAGGGGGAAAAUAACACAAAACAGAACUGUAAACUAGAAAAAGUUUAAUGAAAAAAAAAAAAACCAUGAAAGGAAUAAACAAAAAUUAAAUGUGCUGUAAAAUAAGCUGAAAGAUUCUGUUCACCACCGACCACAGGAUCAGAAGCAAUUGCCGGACUUGCUCUGUGAAAAUAAAAAACAAUGUACAGUAUUAGAACAGUAACACAGGUUGAGUACUGUACAGUAUACUGUACAGCACUUCAAAGUUUAUGAACAAUAUGCAUGUAAAACAACAUUAUUAUUAUUACUAUACCCCUCGAAAGAUUGUCCGGCCCAAAGCACCUCUGUUCUGGUCCUGGUUGGGCGGUGGUGGUGGUGGUGGAGGUGGAGGUGGGAGCCGGAGGGCGCAGUGGGCCCUGGCCCGCCUGGAGGCCUGUCAAUGUGGAAAAAUAAUAAAACACAUUGGACCCUGUACAGUAGUUACUGUAUCAAACACAUUGGUCACAACAUUAACAUUGUCCCCAGCAGUGAUCAAACAGAAGCAUUCACCCCCAAAGAAAUAAAGCACAUUGGCCCCCCCACAGUAAGCAAACACAUUGUUCCCCGUACUAAGCAAAAUCAGCAGGCCCAGCAGUAACUUUUGGGGUAGUAAAGCAUAACACAGUAUACAGUACUUACCAUACCCCUAACCUUUAACCCACAUUUUCUGCAACCUAACCCUAAAAACUCCACCACAGCUUAGCCCUAACCCUCCACGCCAUAGAGUAACCUUUGCCUCCACCAGCAAUGCCUACACUUUACCAUCCCUGGUGGUGACUAAGCCAAAGCCCUCUUCCCUGCAGCCUAUUGACUUUUAGCUUACUUAUUGAGGGUCCAGGAAUGCCGGAUGGUGGGGUGGUGAUGCUGGUGGUGGUGGUCAUCAGAGGACCUAGUAGGUCCAGGUAAGCCUGGAGGACUCUCACUGUGAAAAAAAAUAAACAUCAUUGGCCCCUGUGCAGUAGUUACUGUAUCAAAGACAUUGCCCACAGCAAUCAAACACAAUUAUUCACCCCCACAGGAAUAAAUCACAUUGCCCCCCACUACAGUAUGCCUAAUUUCCCCUGUCAAAUACUGCAUGUACAGUACUUUUUACUGUAUAUCCAUAUCCAGUAUACUGUAUCCAAUUUGUCUGUUUGUUCAUUCUCCAUAACAUGUCCAUAGGUGCUCACCCAAUACUGUGUUUAAAUCAACCUACUGUAAAUAUUGUUAAUACAGUAUAUGCAAUUGUGUUAUGUUAUCUGUUACCCUUUAGAUAAUGUACCCUACUGUAUAUUUACUUUAUGUUACACCUACUGUACUGUAGUUUCCUAUUGUUUUCAUACACCGCAGUGGACCCUCAGAGGGUGAGUCAUAUAAGGUACCAUUGUCUACUCUAUGUUUGUAAACUCCCUAUUGUCCAAAAGUGAGCUGACCAGACAGUGUGGCUCUCUGGCUGAUGUAAUUACCUUGAUUAGAAUAUGUAUUGUAUUCCAAUGCUGUAAGAUCCUAAGACACAGUGGUCACACACAGCCCAGCAAUAUGAAGCUUUGGGAGGUUCAGUAUACAGUAAGUAGAGCUACCCAGAGAGGUGAAGAGAGAUUCUUGGAUACCAGGCUAAGAAGUAAUGUUCUGCCAGGGAUCGGCUUGGGGACCCAUUAUAUUGGAUUUAUCUGGGUCUCUGUGUUGCUAGAAGAGACACUCUGCUCCCAGACUAAGAAGUAAUGGUGGUCAUUCCGAGUUGUUCGCUCUGUAAUUUUUUUCGCAUCGCAGCGAUUUUCUGCUUAUUGCGCAUGCGCAAUGUUCGCACUGCGACUGCGCCAAGUAAAUUUGCUAUGCAGUUAGGAAUUUUACUCACGGCAUUACGAGGUUUUUUCUUCGUUCUGGUGAUCGUAAUGUGAUUGACAGGAAGUGGGUGUUUCUGGGCGGAAACUGGCCGUUUUAUGGGAGUGUGUGAAAAAACGCUACAGUUUCUGGGAAAAACGCGGGAGUGGCUGGAGAAACGGAGGAGUGUCUGGGCGAACGCUGGGUGUGUUUGUGACGUCAAACCAGGAACGACAAGCACUGAACUGAUCGCACUGGAAGAGAAAGUCUCGAGCUACUCAGAAACUGCAAAGAAAUUUCUAUUCGCAAUUUUGAGAACCUUUCGUUCGCAAUUUUGAUAACCUAAGAUUCACUCCCAGUAGGCGGCGGCUUAGCGUGUGCAAUGCUGCUAAAAGCAGCUUGCGAGCGAACAACUCGGAAUCACCCCCAAUGUUCUGUCAGGAGAUUGUGGUGGGAAAUGUCAUGUGGAAU